UUUUUUUUUUUUUUGCUGUAAUAUUCAUUGAUUUAAACAAAAAAUUCUUUGUAUUGUUGAAGAAAUCCAAAUCUGCAAAGAAAUCACAGAGGAUCAAUUAUCUGUUAAUGGGGUCUGGCGGUCGGGGUGGGGGUCCGUUAACUGACUCCCCAAACGCAGCCUUAGUAUAUCUUCCCGUACUUUUGGUUGUCUCUUACUUCAUACUUGCUUUACCUUUGUAUCUCCAUUUCCCUUGGACUCCGACAUCGACUUUGGGGACGGGACAGGGACGAAGAGGAUCGCGAUAUCAUCGGACUUCGACAUACACUCUGGGGAUGAGGGCGAAGGUGACGAAGACGAUGAAGAAGAAGGAUCCAUUGCGGAAGCCGGCGUGGCGAAAGAGGACCUGAAGCUCGAGAUCAAUGUCCGCAAGGCCUAGCAAAUCGGCGUAAGUGACCUUCUCGCUUUUGACCUCUGUCUUUACAGAAGGUGAGGCUCAGGGGCACCCCAUUAACAGUGGCAACAGCAAAGAAAGAGAGAGCAACCAUCGCUUUGUUCCUAAACCUGAUGAAGCCACCGGGCCAUUCUCAGAAGCUGUGCUUCUUAGAGAGGUAUUUUUCUUCUUCUAAUACCUUGACCACUACUUUGUUGGAGGUAUUUACAAUUUUAUCUUCAGAAGUACUUCAAUUACAAGUCUGACUGUGAAAUUUUUAGAGAGGGUGCAAUAUAUAUUUCAAAAUUAGUUCAAUUUCAAGCCACAAAGAUUUACUAUAGAAAUCAUUUUGCAUAGUUUGGUGGCAAAAUCUUUUUGUUUUAGCUAUAGCAGUUUUAGUUCAUUGAGCCAAGACGCGGAUAAACAUCAUAAACUGUAAAGUAGAAGCAUGGAGGAGUACUUUGGAAUUUAUAGGUUUUUUGGUUAAGUAGAACUAAAUACAUUAAUUGAAAUGUCCAUUUCGUUAAGAAGGAAUAAGGAUAAUAGCAACUUGAUUAAUUUACAUACCAACCUCACAUAAUGAAAUGGAGCAAUGCUACAAGAGUUCUAUAUUUUGUGAAAUAUGUACUCACUUUAAAAGGCAAUUGCCAACGCUUGUUAGAUCAACUAUACUUGUUCAUAAUAAAUUUUGUCCAUGAUAAAGGCAGUUGUUCUUAAGGCGAAUAAAAAUUUUAAGAUGGAUGUAUGGCCAUAGAAGAAUGGAUAAAAUCAGAAAUGAAUACCCAUGACAAGUCGAGGUGACUCCAUUGAAGAUAAAAAAGAAAAAAUGACGACUUGAAUUGUUAGAUAUGUAUUGUGUAAAUUCAGGGAAGUUCUUUUUAACAAGAAUCCAUGAGGUCCCAAAAGAAAACAUGUUAGAAGAGGGGGAUGUACACCAAAAUUAAUAUUUUAUGAUAAUUUGAUUAAAAUAUAUAGUUUUAUUGGACCAUUCAAUAAUAGUCACAGAUCAGAUGGUUGGAUGAAGGAAGACUCGUGUAGUCAACCCCAAGCUACUAGGACUUUUUCAGAACUUAUCCAAAAAGAGGUGUUUCUGGUAUGCAUUUUACUGUUGACUAUGAGAAUUAUAGGAACAGAAGAAGCUCUUACAUUUUGGAAUUAUUUCAGCCCCGAAUCUUUGACUCCAAUUUUCAAAAGAUUUUACGUGAAUGUAGAUUUUGGUUUUUAUUUCUGAGAAAAUUCAGGUAUGUUGGAAACAUUCACACCUAGGUGACUAAACCGCUUCACGAAGUUUUUGCAACUACUGGUCUUGUUCAAAGCUUACAGCUUGUUAGAAAGGAAAAGCUGGACCAUCCUGUAUAUUACAGAGAUCAACAAAGGGAACCAGUUUAACAAUAUGGAACUUGGAGGAAGGCUUUCCUUGGCACAGCAACAUUCUCAGCCAAACAGGCUUCAGCAUGAUCAUAACGUAUAGCAUAUAGCACGCAGGGCAUUAGAUGAGAAGGUUAAAGAGAUGAAAGACCAGGUAGUGAGGGCCAAAGCAUACUUGAAUUUUUUACCACCAAACAGCAGCUUUCAUUUUGUAAAGGAUUUGAAGCUAAGAAUUAAAAGAGGCUGAACGAGCUAUGGAUCAAAUCACCAAAUCUUAUUCUCUGUCUAGGAGGCAGUUAAGUUUCUAAAUAUGAUUAGAUUGCAUGGGAAGGUUAUACGAUGAAUAAGCAUCUAAAGAUGAGAAGUGUUGAUAUGGGAGCUAACCUGUACAUCGGAAACAUUCACCCUGUUGAGUUACUCAUGUACAAUUAAAAAUUGCCAAUUGAAGCCACUUCAUAAUAUUUGGAAGAUAUGGUGAUGGUGAGCCUACUGACAAUGCAGCAAGGUUCUACAAAUGGUUUAGAGGAAAAGGAUAGAGGAGAUUGGCUUAAGAAUCUUCUGUAUAAAGUUUUCAGCCUCGAAAACUGGCAAUAUGAACAUUUGAACGAUGUCUAACAUGUAUUUAACUUCUAUAUUUUAUUUCAUUUGAAUAAAUGGUGGUGGCUGUGCAAGGUUUGUUGAAUCAUGCUAAAUGUAACAUUUGCGGAUGUCUGGGUUGUAUUUAUCUUUUCAUUCGCAUCAGUUUUAUACAUUCCUGUCUUUCCACAACUGGAUUACGUACAUGUGUUUUGGAUCUUGUAAUGCUUGUUAUUGCAUUAAUUCUCUUGAAGGUUAUGAAAUUUGUAUUAGUUAAUCAGAA